rnacentral:rRNA from 1 species
CCAAUAGCGUAUAUUAAAGUUGUUGCAGUUAAAAAGCUCGUAGUUGAAUUUCGGGAUUCGUCGGUUGGUCGGGCUUCACUGUCCGCACUGACCUGAUGGAUUCUUACCUUCUGAAUAACCAGCAUGCUAUUAAGUUAGUGCGUUGGGGAAGCAGAGCUAUUACCUUGAAAAAAUUAGAGUGCUUAAAGCAGGCUUGUGCUUGAAUAGAUCAGCAUGGAAUAAUAAAAUAGGACGGCAUGGUUCUAUUUUGUUGGUUUCUAGGAUCACCGUAAUGAUUAAUAGGGAUAGUUGGGGGCAUUAGUAUUCAAUUGUCAGAGGUGAAAUUCUUGGAUUUAUUGAAGACUAACUUCUGCGAAAGCAUUUGCCAAGGAUGUUUUCAUUAAGCAAGAACGAAAGUUAGGGGAUCGAAGACGAUCAGAUACCGUCGUAGUCUUAACCAUAAACUAUGCCGACUAGGGAUCGGACGAUGUUAAUUUUUUAAUGACUCGUUCGGCGCCUUACG